rnacentral:misc_RNA from 1 species
GAAAUGCGAUAAGUAAUGUGAAUUGCAGAAUUCCGUGAAUCAUCGAAUCUUUGAACGCACAUUGCGCCCUCUGGUAUUCCGGGGGGCAUGCCUGUCCGAGCGUCAUUGCGAACCCCUCAAGCACGGCUUGUGUGAUGGGCCCUCCCGCGUCUUGGUCGUCAAGACGGGCCCGAAAUGCAGUGGCGGCUUCGCGGUUAUCCGAUCAGCCAGAGCGUAUGGGGACUCUCUCUCUUGUCACACGCCCGCGGCGCGGACCGACGUCUGCCAAUCGAUUUUUAUCAAAAUUUUUUCUCGGUUGACCUCGGAUCAGGUAGGGAUACCCGCUGAACUUAAGC